rnacentral:rRNA from 1 species
GCAUAUCAAUAAGCGGAGGAAAAGAAACCAACAGGGAUUGCCCCAGUAACGGCGAGUGAAGCGGCAAGAGCUCAAAUUUGAAAGCUGGCUCCUUCGGGGUCCGCAUUGUAAUUUGCAGAGGAUGCUUCGGGAGCGGUCCCCAUCUAAGUUCCCUGGAACGGGACGUCAUAGAGGGUGAAAAUCCCGUAUGGGAUGGGGUGUCCGCGCCCGUGUGAAGCUCCUUCGACGAGUCGAGUUGUUUGGGAAUGCAGCUCUAAAUGGGUGGUAAAUUUCAUCUAAAGCUAAAUAUUGGCCGGAGACCGAUAGCGCACAAGUAGAGUGAUCGAAAGAUGAAAAGCACUUUGAAAAGAGAGUUAAAAAGCACGUGAAAUUGUUGAAAGGGAAGCGCUUGCGACCAGACUCGCUCGCGGGGUUCAGCCGGCAUUCGUGCCGGUGUACUUCCCCGCGGGCGGGCCAACGUCGGUUUGGGCGGUCGGUCAAAGGCCCUCGGAAGGUAACGCCCCCAGGGGCGUCUUAUAGCCGAGGGUGCAAUGCGACCUGCCUAGACCGAGGAACGCGCUUCGGCUCGGACGUUGGCAUAAUGGUCGUAAGCGACCCGUCUUGAAACACGGACCAAGGAGUCUAACAUCUACGCGAGUGUUCGGGUGUCAAACCCGUGCGCGCAGUGAAAGCGAACGGAGGUGGGAACCCUUUGGGUGCACCAUCGACCGAUCCUGAUGUCUUCGGAUGGAUUUGAGUAAGAGCGUAGCUGUUGGGACCCGAAAGAUGGUGAACUAUGCCUGAAUAGGGCGAAGCCAGAGGAAACUCUGGUGGAGGCUCGUAGCGGUUCUGACGUGCAAAUCGAUCGUCGAAUUUGGGUAUAGGGGGCGAAAGACUAAUCGAACCAUCUGGUAGCUGGUUCCUGCCGGAG